rnacentral:misc_RNA from 1 species
CCAAUAGCGUAUAUUAAAGUUGUUGCAGUUAAAAAGCUCGUAGUUGAAUUUUGGAUUCUACCAAUCGGUCCAUCUUUUGAUGAGUACUGGUUGUGUGGGGUCUAUCCGCCUGGUAAUACGUAAUGUCCUUUAUUGGAUGUUGCGGGUAGUCAGGACCUUUACCUUGAAAAAAUUAGAGUGUUUAAAGCAGGCUUCUGCCGGAAUACAUUAGCAUGGAAUAAUAGAAUAGGACGAAGUUGUUUUAUUUUGUUGGUUUCUAGGACAACCGUAAUGAUUAAUAGGGAUAGUUGGGGGCAUUAGUAUUCAAUUGUCAGAGGUGAAAUUCUUGGAUUUAUUGAAGACUAACUAUUGCGAAAGCAUUUGCCAAGGAUGUUUUCAUUAAUCAAGAACGAAAGUUAGGGGAUCGAAGACGAUCAGAUACCGUCGUAGUCUUAACCAUAAACUAUGCCGACUAGGGAUCGGGCGAUGUUGUUUCAAUGACUCGCUCGGCACCUUAUG